GGAAUAUAUAAAACCGUCUUUUAACUUUUAACUAAAAAGGUAAGAACCAGCUCUUAAAUAAAAUAUUUAAAAACCAGUUGUUAGUUUUUUUAGUUAAAGAUUAAGAGACGGUUUCUUAUAUUCC
rfam:Brassica napus, WGS project CCCW01000000 data, contig: 4376